rnacentral:rRNA from 1 species
CUGACCGAUAGUGAACCAGUACCGUGAGGGAAAGGCGAAAAGAACCCCGGCGAGGGGAGUGAAAAAGAACCUGAAACCGUGUACGUACAAGCAGUGGGAGCACGCUUAGGCGUGUGACUGCGUACCUUUUGUAUAAUGGGUCAGCGACUUAUAUUCUGUAGCAAGGUUAACCGAAUAGGGGAGCCGAAGGGAAACCGAGUCUUAACUGGGCGUUAAGUUGCAGGGUAUAGACCCGAAACCCGGUGAUCUAGCCAUGGGCAGGUUGAAGGUUGGGUAACACUAACUGGAGGACCGAACCGACUAAUGUUGAAAAAUUAGCGGAUGACUUGUGGCUGGGGGUGAAAGGCCAAUCAAACCGGGAGAUAGCUGGUUCUCCCCGAAAGCUAUUUAGGUAGCGCCUCGUGAAUUCAUCUCCGGGGGUAGAGCACUGUUUCGGCAAGGGGGUCAUCCCGACUUACCAACCCGAUGCAAACUGCGAAUACCGGAGAAUGUUAUCACGGGAGACACACGGCGGGUGCUAACGUCCGUCGUGAAGAGGGAAACAACCCAGACCGCCAGCUAAGGUCCCAAAGUCAUGGUUAAGUGGGAAACGAUGUGGGAAGGCCCAGACAGCCAGGAUGUUGGCUUAGAAGCAGCCAUCAUUUAAAGAAAGCGUAAUAGCUCACUGGUCGAGUCGGCCUGCGCGGAAGAUGUAACGGGGCUAAACCAUGCAC